UGGGGAAUAUUGCACAAUGGGCGAAAGCCUGAUGCAGCAACGCCGCGUGAGUGAUGAAGGCCUUCGGGUUGUAAAGCUCUGUCUUUUGGGACGAUAAUGACGGUACCAAAGGAGGAAGCCACGGCUAACUACGUGCCAGCAGCCGCGGUAAUACGUAGGUGGCAAGCGUUGUCCGGAUUUACUGGGCGUAAAGGAUGCGUAGGCGGAUUUUUAAGUGAGAUGUGAAAUACCCGGGCUUAACUUGGGUGCUGCAUUUCAAACUGGGAAUCUAGAGUGCGGGAGAGGAGAAUGGAAUUCCUAGUGUAGCGGUGAAAUGCGUAGAGAUUAGGAAGAACACCAGUGGCGAAGGCGAUUCUCUGGACCGUAACUGACGCUGAGGCAUGAAAGCGUGGGUAGCAAACAGGAUUAGAUACCCUGGUAGUCCACGCCGUAAACGAUGAGUACUAGGUGUAGGAGGUAUCGACCCCUUCUGUGCCGCAGUUAACACAAUAGGUACUCCGCCUGGGAAGUACGAUCGCAAGAUUAAAACUUAAAUGAAUUGACGGGGUCAUAGCUG
rnacentral:rRNA from 1 species